UGAAAGGCCAGGUGUAUAACCUCGAUUCAUACUUUUAGGAUGAAAAAGCCAUUUUCUUUUUUCUUUCCUCAAUGAAGCUUGAGGGAAAUCUGGGCAUUUUCUGCCUUAGACACUUUAUCAUAUAUCUAAAUGCCAUUUUUAAAUUGCUUUUAUCACGAAGUAAAACUUCCAGCAUCCAAUUAGGCUUAGCAUAAAAAAAUGGUUUCUUUUUUGUUUCAGAAAAUGUUUGUUGCAUUUAAUUUGUUAAUUUUGUGGGAGUAAGUUCUUACCAAUCAAAUUACAUUUUGUUUUAAUUUUUAUACUUGUAUCUGAAUUUUCUAAGCAAUUUAUUUUCUAUCAAAGAAUUUGUUUUGUCAACC
rnacentral:lncRNA from 1 species